rnacentral:rRNA from 1 species
UAAAGCGCGCGUAGGUGGUUUGUUAAGUUGGAUGUGAAAUCCCCGGGCUCAACCUGGGAACUGCAUCCAAAACUGGCAAGCUAGAGUAUGGUAGAGGGUGGUGGAAUUUCCUGUGUAGCGGUGAAAUGCGUAGAUAUAGGAAGGAACACCAGUGGCGAAGGCGACCACCUGGACUGAUACUGACACUGAGGUGCGAAAGCGUGGGGAGCAAACAGGAUUAGAUCCCGAGU